UGAUGAUGAUGAUGAUGAUGAUGAUGAUGAUGAUGAUGAUGAUGAUGAUGAUGAAGACCAUCAUUAUCAUUUUCAUCACCAUUUUCAUUGACAACA
rnacentral:pre_miRNA from 1 species